rnacentral:rRNA from 1 species
GCAACGAGCGCAACCCUCGCCCUUAGUUGCCAUCAUUCAGUUGGGCACUCUAAGGGGACGUGCCGGUGAUAAGCCGAGAGGAAGGUGGGGAUGACGUCAAGUCCUCAUGGCCCUUACGGGCUGGGCUACACACGUGCUACAAUGGUGGUGACAGUGGGCAGCGAGACCGCGAGGUCGAGCUAAUCUCCAAAAGCCAUCUCAGUUCGGAUUGCACUCUGCAACUCGAGUGCAUGAAGUUGGAAUCGCUAGUAAUCGCGGAUCAGCAUGCCGCGGUGAAUACGUUCCCGGGCCUU